GAGAGGGUGACGAAGCGACGCCGCGUGUGGGAAGAAGGCCUUCGGGUUGUAAACCACUGUCGGGAGUUAGGAAAUGCAGGUGCGUUAAUAGCGCACUUGCUUGACUAAGGCUCCAGAGGAAGCCACGGCUAACUCUGUGCCAGCAGCCGCGGUAAUACAGAGGCGGCAAGCGUUGUUCGGAAUUAUUGGGCGUAAAGAGCACGUAGGCGGCCUUGCAAGUCAGUUGUGAAAGCCUUCCGCUUAACGGAAGAACGGCAUCUGAUACUACAGGGCUUGAGUACGGGAGGGGAGAGUGGAACUUCUGGUGGAGCGGUGAAAUGCGUAGAUAUCAGAAGGAACGCCGGCGGCGAAAGCGACUCUCUGGUCCGAAACUGACGCUGAGUGUGCGAAAGCUAGGGGAGCAAACGGGAUUAGAUACCCCGGUAGUCCUAGCCGUAAACGAUGGGCACUAAGUAGAGGGGUU
rnacentral:rRNA from 1 species